rnacentral:rRNA from 1 species
GACGAGCCACACAAACGUUAUUCGGAAUUACUGGGCUUAAAGGGUGCGUAGGCGGCGCGGAAAGUUGGGUGUGAAAUCCCUCGGCUCAACCGAGGAAUUGCGCUCAAAACUACCGUGCUCGAGGGAGAUAGAGGAGUGCGGAACUUAGGGUGGAGCGGUGAAAUGCGUUGAUAUCCUAGGGAACACCGGUGGCGAAAGCGGCACUCUGGAUCUCAUCUGACGCUGAUGCACGAAAGCUAGGGUAGCAAACGGG